rnacentral:tRNA from 1 species
GCAUCUGUAGCUCAAUGGAUAGAGCGUUGGCCUCCGGAGCCAGAAGUGCUGGUUCGAUUCCAGUCAGAUGCA